AUGAGUUGGCACAAGUACAACUUAGAAUUGUACCUAAUCUGUGUGGUUGGGAUUGUUUUUCUCGAAUCCGAUCCUCCCCACUAUAUAACAAAAAAUAAAACUUCAUCCAAUUUUCUCACAUUCACCGUAACUUUUUUCCCCAUUACGUUCUUUCUUCCUUUUCCCCUUUCUCUUCGCAAGAAUCAGUGCUUAGUGGUUGAUUACACCAGAAGGACUUAG